rnacentral:tRNA from 1 species
GAUAAGAAGAGGACUCAAACCUCUGUUUUCGGGGCUACAACCCGCCGCCUAA